UACAUUUCAAAUUUAAAGUCCAUAACUUCAUUUCUUAAUUUGUUAUAUACCUUGCUAAAAGCGAGUUUUUUGUCUAGUUUUACUAGUAAGAGUGACUUGUGCAUAAGUCUGUGUUUUUUUAUUAAAUCGUAGUGUUUGUUUACUUUGUCACUAACUUCGCAUAACACAUAUUAUGUUAAAUAUAAAAUUACAAAAAGUAACAUUUAGGUAAAUGAUGCUAUGACUCUUCUAA
rnacentral:ncRNA from 1 species